rnacentral:rRNA from 1 species
AUGAACGCUAGCGACAGGCUUAACACAUGCAAGUCGAGGGGCAGCACAGGUAGCAAUACCGGGUGGCGACCGGCGCACGGGUGAGUAACGCGUAUGCAACUUACCUAUCAGAGGGGGAUAACCCGGCGAAAGUCGGACUAAUACCGCAUGAAGCAGGGGCCCCGCAUGGGGAUAUUUGCUAAAGAUUCAUCGCUGAUAGAUAGGCAUGCGUUCCAUUAGGCAGUUGGCGGGGUAACGGCCCACCAAACCGACGAUGGAUAGGGGUUCUGAGAGGAAGGUCCCCCACAUUGGUACUGAGACACGGACCAAACUCCUACGGGAGGCAGCAGUGAGGAAUAUUGGUCAAUGGCCGAGAGGCUGAACCAGCCAAGUCGCGUGAGGGAUGAAGGUUCUAUGGAUCGUAAACCUCUUUUAUAAGGGAAUAAAGUGCGGGACGUGUCCCGUUUUGUAUGUACCUUAUGAAUAAGGAUCGGCUAACUCCGUGCCAGCAGCCGCGGUAAUACGGAGGAUCCGAGCGUUAUCCGGAUUUAUUGGGUUUAAAGGGUGCGUAGGCGGCCUUUUAAGUCAGCGGUGAAAGUCUGUGGCUCAACCAUAGAAUUGCCGUUGAAACUGGGGGGCUUGAGUAUGUUUGAGGCAGGCGGAAUGCGUGGUGUAGCGGUGAAAUGCAUAGAUAUCACGCAGAACCCCGAUUGCGAAGGCAGCCUGCCAAGCCAUGACUGACGCUGAUGCACGAAAGCGUGGGGAUCAAACAGGAUUAGAUACCCUGGUAGUCCACGCAGUAAACGAUGAUCACUAGCUGUUUGCGAUACACUGUAAGCGGCACAGCGAAAGCGUUAAGUGAUCCACCUGGGGAGUACGCCGGCAACGGUGAAACUCAAAGGAAUUGACGGGGGCCCGCACAAGCGGAGGAACAUGUGGUUUAAUUCGAUGAUACGCGAGGAACCUUACCCGGGUUUGAACGCAUUCGGACCGAGGUGGAAACACCUUUUCCAGCAAUAGCCGUUUGCGAGGUGCUGCAUGGUUGUCGUCAGCUCGUGCCGUGAGGUGUCGGCUUAAGUGCCAUAACGAGCGCAACCCUUGCCACUAGUUACUAACAGGUAAAGCUGAGGACUCUGGUGGGACUGCCAGCGUAAGCUGCGAGGAAGGCGGGGAUGACGUCAAAUCAGCACGGCCCUUACAUCCGGGGCGACACACGUGUUACAAUGGCGUGGACAAAGGGAGGCCACCUGGUGACAGGGAGCGAAUCCCCAAACCACGUCUCAGUUCGGAUCGGAGUCUGCAACCCGACUCCGUGAAGCUGGAUUCGCUAGUAAUCGCGCAUCAGCCAUGGCGCGGUGAAUACGUUCCCGGGCCUUGUACACACCGCCCGUCAAGCCAUGGGAGCCGGGGGUACCUGAAGUCCGUAACCGAAAGGAUCGGCCUAGGGUAAAACUGGUGACUGGGGCU